UAAUGCUCCAUAGUGGAUAUGUCCUGGAAUGGUAUAUCCUCGAAAGAUCCGUCGCCUUAGGAUGGGACUGCGUCCGAUUAGGUUGUUGGCGGGGUAACGGCCCACCAAGCCAUUGAUCGGUACGGGUUGUGGGAGCAAGAUCCCGGAGAUGGAUUCUGAGACAUGAAUCCAGGCCCUACGGGGCGCAGCAGGCGCGCAAACUUUACAAUGCGAGCAAUCGUGAUAAGGAAACCCUGAGUGCCUGUCGAUGCAGGCUGUUCAUAUAUCUAAAUCAUAUGUGAAGAAAGGGCAGGGCAAGACCGGUGCCAGCCGCCGCGGUAAUACCGGCUGCUCGAGUGAUGGCCACUAUUACUGGGUUUAAAGCGUCCGUAGCUUGACUGUUAGGUCUCUUGGGAAAUCUUCACGCUCAACGUGAAGGCGUCUAAGAGAUACCGGCAGUCUUGGAACUGGGAGAGGUAAACCGUACUUCGGGGGUAGGAGUGAAAUCUUGUAAUCCUCGAGGGACGACCUAUGGCGAAGGCAGUUUACCAGAACAGCUUCGACAGUGAGGGACGAAAGCUGGGGGAACAAACGGGAUUAGAUACCCCGGUAAUCCCAGCCGUAAACAAUGUGCGUUAGGUGU
rnacentral:rRNA from 1 species